rnacentral:rRNA from 1 species
GACGAACGCUGGCGGCGUGCUUAACACAUGCAAGUCGAACGGAAAGGCCCUGCUUUUGUGGGGUGCUCGAGUGGCGAACGGGUGAGUAACACGUGAGUAACCUGCCCUUUACUUUGGGAUAACUUCAGGUAACUGGGGCUAAUACCGGAUAGGAGCUCCUGCUGCAUGGUGGGGGUUGGAAAGUUUCGGCGGUUGGGGAUGGACUCGCGGCUUAGCAGCUUGUUGGUGGGGUAGUGGCUUACCAAGGCUUUGACGGGUAGCCGGCCUGAGAGGGUGACCGGCCACAUUGGGACUGAGAUACGGCCCAGACUCCUACGGGAGGCAGCAGUGGGGAAUAUUGCACAAUGGGCGGAAGCCUGAUGCAGCAACGCAGCGUGCGGGAUGACGGCCUUCGGGUUGUAAACCGCUUUCGCCUGUGACAAAGCGUGAGUGACGGUAAUGGGUAAAGAAGCACCGGCUAACUACGUG